CCCUCCUCUCCGCUCCCCUCUCCUCCCUCCCCAUCCCUUCCGUCACCCUCCACCUCUCUCAUCCUCCCCGACCUUGCCGACGCGCACCCUUCUCCCCUCUCCUCUCCUCCUUCCUCAGCCGCCACUCCAGGGACCCCACAAAGGGUUUUUUGGUUUUGGAAUUUUUUUUCGCAGUGACGUGAAUAGGGUGUUUUUGAUUCGUACAUUAGGAUCAGUGCGAUGGAAAAAGAUGAUGACGGCCGUUGUUUCUUUCCUCUCACCAAUUUGCAAAUCAGGUACACACGUGAGCGGCGCAGCGGCGCGAGGUAAGGGCGUAGCUCCGUAGAUAGCCCCCUAUCCCAGAGACCUGAGGUAGUA